CCUACGGGGCGCUGCAGUGGGGAAUAUUGGACAAUGGGCGAAAGCCUGAUCCAGCCAUGCCGCGUGUGUGAAGAAGGCCUUCGGGUUGUAAAGCACUUUCAGUGGGGAAGAAAGCCUUGGGGCUAAUACCCUCGAGGAAGGACAUCACCCACAGAAGAAGCACCGGCUAACUCCGUGCCAGCAGCCGCGGUAAUACGGAGGGUGCGAGCGUUAAUCGGAAUUACUGGGCGUAAAGCGCGCGUAAGCGGUCUGAUAAGCCGGUUGUGAAAGCCCCGGGCUCAACCUGGGAACGGCAUCCGGAACUGUCAGGCUAGAGUGCAGGAGAGGAAGGUAGAAUUCCCGGUGUAGCGGUGAAAUGCGUAGAGAUCGGGAGGAAUACCAGUGGCGAAGGCGGCCUUCUGGACUGACACUGACGCUGAGGUGCGAAAGCGUGGGUAGCAAACAGGAUUUAGAUACCCUAGUAGUC
rnacentral:rRNA from 1 species